rnacentral:tRNA from 1 species
GCUCUCAUAGUUCAAUGGAUAGAACGUAGGUUUCCUAAACCUUUGAUCUGGGUUCGAUUCCCAGUGAGAGUA